CAGAGAAGCAGCCGGCUGCUCCUUGCAGGAUCCUCUUGGGGAGCAGCUGAGGGUGACACAAACAGAUUUGUAGAGGAGGAAGCCAAGGUUCUGGGCAGCCCAUAUCUUGGUUGAAAAUGACAGUGGAGCCAGCCUCUCAUACCAGUGGGAUCUUCAUCCAGCAAGUCAUCCAACCUUGGAUCAAACAUUUGUAGUAGGAAAAAUAAAUUGUGCUUUACUGAG